GUUGGGUUGGGCUAAAGUUUUGGCCCAAUAAGAGUGCUCUGUCGGUUGCUCAUCAUCGCCACCGUCUAAGUUCCUCCGUUUCCAGGCGAAAAUGUCACGGAAGAAGCAAGUUAUGGCGGCGGGAAUGGUUGCCGUGGUGGCAGGAUCGCAUCCGUGGAACUCAUUGAUCCAAGCUCUACUUCUGCUAUCACUAUCGUUUCCGGCGGCGCUUACAGACCAGGAGCAAGAUGAGGCAGCAUAUUAGCUGAGCUGAGCUGAGCUUACUAUCUAAUUUGAAGGUUCUCUUGUAGUUCGAGAACGACUUGGGAUGAUCUUUGCUGUUAAUCGCGAGGUGUUGAUUGAUCCCCAUAGCGAAACCUAUAUGGCCUACACUGGAGCAGAUCCUUAUUAAGAUAAAAUACCAAGUUGGAAGUGGAAAAUUUUCUUAUUUGGCUUAUAAGUUCCAAUGCUUGAUUUCAAUUUGGUAUGUUUAGCAUUGAGUCAUUUAUUUACUUUGGCUGAUCAGUAAAUUUGGUAUGUUUAGCAUCAGUUUCUAGUCAUUUAUAAGCUUUGCCUGAUUAGUAAAGUUUCUGUGUUUAGCAUUGGUUUGAGUCAUUUCGGUGUGGCUUGAUUUUUUUUUCGUUUGCACGGAGAUAUUAUGGAGGAGUUUUGCUUGGAGUCACAGCUCAAGUUAUCGACAUUCCUCUUAGCUGUUGAUAUAAUUCAUCUUUCUAGUGGCAUUGCUACAUGAAGUUUACAUUGCCAUGCUUUGAAUACACAUCCGCAGACAGUUCUGGGAUCCUCAACACUGCCAGAGCAUAUUCUUAUUAGAAACACAUGGAAGGAACAGUCAGAGAUUGAUGUCUCCUCAGGAUGGACUUUGUGUCCUCUUUGUCUCAGGUUUGUAAGAGAGACUGUUGUGGAAAGCAGCUCGAAUAUUGAAGAAUUUGGCAAUGCUGACUGAGAGUCAUAGUCAAAAGUAUGUAUACUAAUCAAUAAGGUUAAUUCUUUAUCUAGGAUUAACCUUAUUGAUGAAGAAAAACAAUUCCAGAAAACGAAGAAAUUUGACCAAAGUUGCAAUAGUCGAAAGCAAAUCUAUGUAUUUGCCAUUAGGUUGUUCCAGACCAUGUUUUGGAAGAGAAUACACUAGUUUGUUGUAGGUCUUCUUGCUAGCAUAAAUUAAGGAAUCAACAAAUUGCUAGCAUAAAUUGCAAGAAAUUAACUUUCAUGUAACGUACAUAUAUAAGAUUUUGUUGUUUUAAAAGC